CACCAUUUGACUUUCAAGUUAUGAACAUCUGCUACUUGGACUAAAAAUUAAUUAUUGACAAAAGGUACAUUGCUAAGGAUUGAGACAGGUUGCUUGAAAUCAAUGAGUAACAAUGAAAGAUUCCAUAGGCUUCCUAUGGCACACAGUAAGAACUCAAAAAGUGUCAACAACUAUUAUUGUCAUAUAACAAUCAGUGGAGAAGCCAGCAGACUUUGCAAGAUCAUUGCCCGUCCAUGACUGGCCUUUGUCUAUAACUGGCAGGGAUUUCUGGUGUGUCAGCUGCAAUAUUUAGAUCUGGUUGGAGAGCUGGGCACUGAGGCUCAAAGUCAAGAGAAACCCCAAACUUGGGGAAAAUAACUUUGUGGCGAAGAACCUUAGCCAAGUGAUCUAAGGUCCCAGUCAUCCCUGCAGCCUGGCCAUGCCUUCUGUAAGCCUGUUUCAUCCUAAGCUCUCUGCCAGCAAAACUCUUGCAAUAGAAAACCAUCUGAAGAAGAGCCAGGCAAGGCCUUGACAUCGGUGUUCUGGGCGCUGGGAGUGAUCAUGAAGAGACUACGGCAGCGGCAAAACAGGAAACAUUUUCUCCAGCCUGCCUAUAGCUGCUGCCCUCGGGGCUUGCUCUCAUACCCAAUUUUUAAAAGCAGGCUCUUAGAAUAAUAAAACCAGAGAAUCCUUGAAUACAGAACCAUUGACUCUUAGAAUCAUAAGUUAUUGAGAGAAGAACUAUGAAAUUCUAGAAUCUUGGCAUUGGAAGUUCCCUCCCAGGUCAAUGGGUCCUGUCUCCCCACCUAAGCAACAGGUAUUUCUUCUGAGGAAACUGGGUGCAGUGACGAUGUGGCCACAACACCUUGUAGAUAUGGGAAGAUGUCCAAGGUGGCCACAAAGGUUUCAGGAGAAGGAGGAGGCCCUGGAAACUCUUGACAAUGCCCUCGGCACUGCUUCCAAGGAGCUCCAGUCUUACAGACAGACCAUCCCUGAGAGAAACAAGAGAAAACGGGAAAUUCUGACUUCUCUCUACUUCAGAACUAUGGACUAUUUUGGUUGGCAUUUUUGCCCCCCUCCAACUUUUUUUUGGCUUUGCUAUCUAAAACAAAUAAAUAAAAACAGCUGAUGCUGUGAACUGUAAAGAAUCUGAGCUAAUUUGGUCCUCCCCUUUCUCCCAUCCAUUGCAGACUUCGGCCAUGGCGCGUGAGCAUUAGAAAACAACUUGUCGCCCAC
rnacentral:lncRNA from 1 species